CUUCAAGGCAGGGUGUGAUUCCCUACCGGCGGUAUAGCCCGCAAGCCGAAAGGCACGAUUUGGUGAGAUUCCAAAGCCGACAGUAUAGUCUGGAUGAGAGAAGU
rnacentral:ncRNA from 1 species